ACCUCUUUAUAGUUAAAAUAAUUUCUUCCCAAUUAAUGAAUCAGUGUGCAUGUUUAAAAGAUACUUUACUUUUUAUUUUUCUUAUUGUAACAGUUAUAUUCAUUGUAGAGAAUUUAGAAAAUAAGGAUAAAUACAGUAAUAACUUCACAAUGGCCUCUAAUCUCAACUGGAGGUACAGUUGUAAGGCUUGAAAUUGAGAGUUACAAGUCCUCUCACGAUGUUCUUCUUUUUCAAGUACGUUUUGGUUACUAAGACCCUCGAAUUCCCUUAUGAAUUGUAGCAGCAGCUAGUCAUUUACUGCAGAGCAGCCCGCUGGGAUUGUGAUCGAGACCACGUUGAAGAUACGGAUCAUUCUGGGGAGCACUGGUAUUCCAAGAGCACUGUCUUCUGAUCCAUGAAUGUGUGUGGUUUGUCUGUCCAGGUGAUACUGCUCUGAUUGCUGCAUGUGGCCAUACCCCAGUCUUGGUUUUGGAGUUAAGUCACCGUCAGUGGAGCCCUCUCGUUAAAAGAUGAAGAGAACAUUUGCUCCUACUCCUUGGUUUGGGACUUGGAUGACAUGAAGUGCCCUCACCUCCAAUAGCAUCAAUCCAGACACCAGCACUGACACUGGCCAUGUGUCAGUGCUCAGAACUGCCUCAGCCCUGAAGACACAACUGAUAAAUAGAAGGGGGCCACACCCUGUUACAGCAGGUGCUCUCACUUUGUGGGUCCUUAUGUAACUGCACGGCGUUAUUAAGGAUCGCCCUUUAUACAUUGUGUGACGCUGCUGCCGUGUCUCCUAGUUACUUGUU